rnacentral:rRNA from 1 species
CAAUAGCGUAUAUUAAAGUUGUUGCAGUUAAAAAGCUCGUAGUUGGAUUUCUGGUGGGAGCGAUCGGUCUGGCGCUUAGCGCGAGUACUUGCAUCGUCUCCGGCCAUCCUUGGGGAGAGUCUGUCUGGCAUUAGGUUGUCGGGCAGAGGAUCCUCAUCGUUUACUGUGAAAAAAUUAGAGUGUUCAAAGCAGGCUUAUGCCGUUGAAUAUAUUAGCAUGGAAUAAUAAGAUAGGACUUUGGUACUAUUUUGUUGGUUUGCGCACCAAAGUAAUGAUUAAUAGGGACAGUUGGGGGUAUUCGUAUUCCGUUGUCAGAGGUGAAAUUCUUGGAUUUUUGGAAGACGAACUACUGCGAAAGCAUUUACCAAGGAUGUUUNCAUUA